rnacentral:rRNA from 1 species
UGGGGAAUAUUGGACAAUGGGCGAAAGCCUGAUCCAGCAAUGCCGCGUGUGUGAAGAAGGCCUUCGGGUUGUAAAGCACUUUCGGUGGGGAAGAAAUACUUAAGGCUAAUAUCCUUGAGAGUUGACGUUACCCGCAGAAGAAGCACUGGCUAACUCUGUGCCAGCAGCCGCGGUAAUACAGAGAGUGCAAGCGUUAAUCGGAAUUACUGGGCGUAAAGCGCACGUAGGCGGAUACUUAAGUCGGUUGUGAAAGCCCUAGGCUUAACCUAGGAAUUGCAGUCGAUACUGGGUGUCUUAGAGUAUGGUAGAGGGAAGUGGAAUUUCCGGUGUAGCGGUGAAAUGCGUAGAUAUCGGAAGGAACACCAGUGGCGAAGGCGGCUUCCUGGACCAAUACUGACGCUGAGGUGCGAAAGCGUGGGGAGCAAACAGGAUUAGAUACCCCAGUAGUCCCUGAGCGGGCUGGCAAGGCGCAU